AUUUAAAUAGUUUAAUUUUUAAAACUUUGAUUUGUGGGAUCAACAAUAAUAUGAAAUAUUUUUAAAUU
rnacentral:tRNA from 1 species